rnacentral:lncRNA from 1 species
CGGACCCCAGCGCAUCCUGUAGGUGCCGGCGGCCAGUUGACGGCCCAGGGGCUGUGCCGGCUCGAUGGUCGUGCUGGGCGCGGCCCUGCGCCGUAUGCGCUCGUAGAUGGCGAUGGCCGCGACGAGCGCGAUCAGCAAUACCAGCGCGAUGCCGGCGAUGAUCCAACCCCAGGGUGUGCGCGACGGCGAUCCGAGCGCGGCCACGGGCGACGCUGCCGGUACGAGAAGGGCGCCCGAGGCCGUGUCCACAUAGGCCGACAUGGUCGGCGGCAACGUGCGCAAGAGAGGCGGCCCCGGCAAAAGAAGGGAUGGGCGCACGAGAAAGGUUGCCGAAAAAAGUAGGCGAAGGAAAGGAGCAACCGUGUAUGACAGAGAUGCCGCGGCUGUGUGUUGGUCUCUCUCUCUCUCUCUCUCUCUC